CACGUAGGAGGCAAACGUUAUCCGGAUUUACUGGGCGUAAAGCGCGUGUAGGUGGUACUGUAAGUAGGGCGUGAAAGCUCCUGGCUCAACUGGGAGAGGCCGUUCUAAACUGCAGAACUCGAGUUUGAUAGAGGAAGAUGGAAUUCCAGGUGUAGCGGUAAAAUGCGCAGAUAUCUGGAGGAACACCAGUGGCGAAAGCGGUCUUCUAGAUCAAUACUGACACUCAGACGCGAAAGCUAGGGUAGCAAACGGG
rnacentral:rRNA from 1 species